AUAUAUAUCAAUCUCUUCAGCUUUGCUUGUUGAGUAUUGGAUGUGGGGGUUGUUUUUUGUUGGCUUUUACGAAGUCAGCUCCCCUGAAAUGUGUUAGCAGAACAAUUUGUUUAUCUUGUUCAUUGGUGUGAUAAUUAUCUACACUAUUGACGGAAAAGCAGUUCAGCUUCUAAUUAGUCCAUUGACUUGGACAAAUUUUCAUUA
rnacentral:misc_RNA from 1 species